UACGAAGGGGGCUAGCGUUGCUCGGAAUCACUGGGCGUAAAGCGCACGUAGGCGGCUUUUUAAGUCAGGGGUGAAAUCCUGGAGCUCAACUCCAGAACUGCCUUUGAUACUGAGAAGCUUGAGUCCGGGAGAGGUGAGUGGAACUGCGAGUGUAGAGGUGAAAUGCGUAGAGAUCGGAAAGAACACCAACGGCGAAAGCACUCUGCUGGGCCGACACUGACACUGAGAGACGAAAGCUAGGGGAGCGAAUGGG
rnacentral:rRNA from 1 species